CCCUUAGAUGUCCGGGGCCGCACGCGCGCUACACUGAAGGAAUCAGCGUGGCUUUCUCCCUGGCCCGAAAGGGUUGGGAAACCCGUUGUAUCUCCUUCGUGAUAGGGAUUGGGGCUUGAAAUUGUUCCCCAUGAACGAGGAAUUCCCAGUAAGCGCGAGUCAUAAGCUCGCGUUGAUUACGUCCCUGCCCUUUGUACACACCGCCCGUCGCUACUACCGAUUGAACGGUUUAGUGAGGGCCUCGGAUUGGUCUCGGCCCGCUCUUUACCGGGCGGCGCCGUUGGUCGAGAAGACGCUCGAACUUGAUCGUUUAGAGGAAGUAAAAGUCGUAACA
rnacentral:rRNA from 1 species